GUGGGCAAGUUGUUAAGGGCACAUGGUGGAUGCCUUGGCAUCGAGAGCCGAUGAAGGACGUGGGAGCCUGCGAUAUGCCCUGGGGAGUUGGCAACCGAGCGUUGAUCCGGGGAUGUCCGAAUGGGGAAACCCAGCACGAGUUAUGUCGUGUUACCUGCACCUGAAUGAAAUAGGGUGUGUGGAGGGAACAAGGGGAAGUGAAACAUCUCAGUACCCUUAGGAAGAGAAAACAACCGUGAUUCCGAGAGUAGUGGCGAGCGAAAUCGGAUGAGGCUAAACCUACUUCAUGUGAUAGCCGGCAGGCGUUGUGGAGUGGGGGUUGUGGGAGUGUUGUUGUUGCCUCUGCCGGGGUGGCGCACAGUAAGAAACCAGACACGAGGUCGAAGUCCGUUGGAAAGCGGUGCCGUAGCGGGUGAUAGCCCCGUAGACGAUAGGGUCUGGCUGUGUUCAGCAUUUCCCAAGUAACACGCUACUCCUGGAAUGGUGUGUGAAUCUGGCGGGACCACCCGUUAAGCCUAAAUACUCCUCGAUGACCGAUAGCGGACCAGUACCGUGAGGGAAAGGUGAAAAGUACCCCUGGCGGGGAGUGAAAUAGUACCUGAAACCAUGUGCCUACAAUCCGUCAGAGCCUGU
rnacentral:rRNA from 1 species